UACGGAGGGUGCAAGCGUUAUCCGGAAUCAUUGGGUUUAAAGGGUCCGCAGGCGGACGUAUAAGUCAGUGGUGAAAGCCUACAGCUUAACUGUAGAACUGCCAUUGAUACUGUAUGUCUUGAAUUCGGUCGAAGUGGGCGGAAUGUGUCAUGUAGCGGUGAAAUGCAUAGAUAUGACACAGAACACCGAUAGCGAAGGCAGCUCACUAGGCCUGGAUUGACGCUCAUGGACGAAAGCGUGGGGAGCGAACAGG
rnacentral:rRNA from 1 species